rnacentral:rRNA from 1 species
GACGAACGCUGGCGGCGUGCUUAACACAUGCAAGUCGAACGGUGAUGCACCAGCUUGCUGGUGUGGAUCAGUGGCGAACGGGUGAGUAACAGGUGAGCAACCUGCCCCAGACUCUGGAAUAAGCGCUGGAAACGGCGCCUACUACUGGAUACCAAACUGGCCCGCAUGGGCAUCGUUUGGAAAGUUUUUCGGUUUGGGAUGGGCUCGCGGCCUACCAGCUUGUUGGUGAGGUAAUGGCUCACCAACGCGACGACGGGUAGCCGGCCUGAGAGGGCGACAGGCCACACUGGGCCUGAGACACGGCCAGGACGCAUUCGGGAGGAAGGAGCGGGAAAUAUUGCACGACGGGCCAAAGCCUGAUGCAGCGACGCCGCGUGGGGGAGGACGGCCUUCGGGUAGUAAACCUCUUUCAGCAGGGAAGAAGCGAAAGGGACGGUACCUGCAGAAGAAGCACCGGCUAACUACGU